rnacentral:tRNA from 2 species
GAAGAUGAAGUACAGAAGUGCGUUUUCCUUACACGAAAAAAGUCCCAAGAAUAGGGCAUCUUUA